GCUUGAGAGCCAUCCGUGUGACAUUUCUACCUGUCCCGUGGCAGGCUACUGACCAGUUAGCCUCCAUCCCCAAAAAUGGGCAGUGCUCUGAUCUCCAUGGUGACCCAUUCCAUCCUGGUCUCCGUGGACUUUUGUUGACCCCACAUCACGUAAGCCAAGUGCAUUUUCCUCCUGACUCUUUCUAUCAGCUCCUGCUUCCAACUAUCAAAGGAGAGAGACUGUGUUACAAAGCUUUCAUUUUCACUCAUCAAAGGAGCCCAGCAGUUUGGGGGAAUGAAGAAAAACCAUGUAACUCGCACUUGGCUGCCCAGAGCAAAGGUUCCCUUGAAAUUCAAAGCGAUCUCAACCUAAAUUUUAGUUAUUUAUACUUCUAGAUCUGAAACGAAGACCAAAA
rnacentral:lncRNA from 1 species